rnacentral:rRNA from 1 species
ACACGUACUCAACCUGCCCUGGAGACAUGGACAACCCCGGGAAACUGGGAUUAAUCCGUGAUAGGCCAUUUCAUCUGGAAGGAGAGGUGGCCCAAAGGGACGCGCGGGCUUCUUCUGCGCGCUCGCUCCAGGAUGGGACUGCGGCCGAUCAGGCUGUUGGCGGUGUAAUGGACCACCAAACCUGUAACCGGUACGGGCUUUGAGAGAAGGAGCCCGGAGAUGGACACUGAGAAAAGGGUCCAGGUCCUACGGGGCGCAGCAGGCGCGGAACCUUCGCAAUGCGAGAGGGGGGGAGGAGGAUAGUCCGAGUGGCUUCCGCUGAGGAGGUCUUUUGCUAUCUGUAAAAAGGCUGGAGAAUAAGGGGAGGGCAAGCCUGGUGUCAGCCGCCGCGGUAAUACCAGCUCCUCGAGUGGUCAGGGCGAUUAUUGGGCCUAAAGCAUCCGUAGCCGAGUCGGUAGGUCCUCUGCUAAAUCCAAUCGCCUAACGAUUGGCCCGCAUAGGAUACCGUCCGACUAAGAAGCGGGAGAGGUGGACGGUACUCCGCGGGUAGGGGUAAACUCCUCUUGAUCCGCGGAAGA